GCCGACAUAGCUCAGCAGGUAGAGCAACUGAUUUGUAAUCAGAAGGUCACGGGUUCGAUUCCUGUUGUCGGCACCA
rnacentral:tRNA from 1 species